CGAAGAAGAGUGGAAAGAUCGUGGAUGGUGGUGGAAAGGCUGAAGCCGAUGCAGUGACGUCCUAUCGCGUCACGAUGGAACAAAGUCGCACGCGUCAGCCAACGUUUUAAGUACGAGUUGCCUGAAGUUUGGAUCAGCCAGUCAAGUCUAAGUUUUACGCCAGCGAAAGAUCGAAGACGCGAGUUGCGCGUCGGACGUACGAAUCGCAUCGUUUCGCACCACGGAAGACUACAGGCG
rnacentral:misc_RNA from 1 species